rnacentral:rRNA from 1 species
CGGGGUGAGUAAUGCUUGGGAAUCUAGCUUAUGGAGGGGGAUAACUACGGGAAACUGUAGCUAAUACCGCGUAGUAUCGAGAGAUGAAAGUGUGGGACCUUCGGGCCACAUGCCAUAGGAUGAGCCCAAGUGGGAUUAGGUAGUUGGUGAGGUAAAGGCUCACCAAGCCGACGAUCUCUAGCCGGUCUGAGAGGAUGACCAGCCACACUGGGACUGAGACACGGCCCAG